GGGGCCGACCGGUUUUGACAGGAUGUGUGAUGACGUGUGUAAGCAUGCAGGCUCAUAGGAUGAGAGCCUUGAAAGAUAGUCCUGAACCAUACGUGGCGAGACUAACUACGCCAUGGCUGCUUAAUCUGACGAUACGUUAGAUUAGCUUAUGGCGUGUAAGACGCGCCAGGCCAUCAUCGCUCAGCGCGUUGUUCUGCAAGUGCUGAUUUAGCGGUGUCGUUUUGCGGAACUGCUUUGUACGGAGUUACAACGUGCAACUAAGACCACGUAACUACGGAAUAGUUUGGCUGUUGCCUGCCUUGCCAUUCCCGACAAGUAAAGUCAACUAAGCAUGUAGAAGAUACGAUUAUCUUCUUCUCUGGACCAGGGUUCGAUUCCCUGCGGCUCCACUC
rnacentral:tmRNA from 1 species